GUCUUUGUUCUUCAAUUUGAAUCUUUUCUUCAAAACUUCCGCGAUCAACUCUUCAAGACUCCAUUCAACUUUACGAAAUCCGCCAACCUAUAAAAUCCUUAACAAUCUCCCCCUUUGGCGAUUUCGUGAUAAAAUAUACUACAAUGCUCGUACACAACUCAGAAACAAUAAAAAGAAGAUCAUCGCAAUCACCAAACGACAAUCUCCUGCAUGAUCGAUCCAAUAAAAGAAAAUUAUAUUUUUCACAACCUUAAUACAGACUCUAUAACUUAGACAUGGAGUCUUGAAUUCUUGAAUAUUCCUGCAAAAAC
rnacentral:lncRNA from 1 species